rnacentral:rRNA from 1 species
UACAGAGGUCCCAAGCGUUGUUCGGAUUCACUGGGUUUUAAGGGUGCGUAGGUGGGCAGUUAAGUCAGUGGUGAAAUCUCCGGGCUCAACCCGGAAACUGCCAUUGAUACUAUCUGUCUUGAAUAUCGUGGAGGUAAGCGGAAUAUGUCAUGUAGCGGUGAAAUGCUUAGAUAUGACAUAGAACACCAAUUGCGAAGGCAGCUUACUACCCGAAUAUUGACACUGAGGCACGAAAGCGUGGGGAUCAAACAGG